AUAUGGAUUGCACUGUGUGAGCAUCAGUAAAAAGUCCACAGUGUUCAUUUGAAGAUGGUCUUCUGCUUCAAGCAGUGGGACCCAUCUGUAUAGAACUCUUCUGACAGCUGCCCGUCCAGAAGAAUGUAGUGUGCCACUUCCUCAGCAGCCUUUCUCUUCCACCACCGUCAAAGAUACAUUUUCUCCUCAUGUAUCAUGCCAUGACAGGCCUUGUGAGGCAGCAUUUAAAACAUGGAGCUCAAGUGACACUGGUAGUCAGAUAAAGUAGGGGAUGUGGCAGACCUUCAUUUGAGACCUGCGGACAAUAAAUCUACGUGAUCCGUGGUGUCACACUUUGUCGGAGCUGUCCUUACACCGUGUUCCAAAUUAUUAUGCAAAUUGUAUUUAAGUGUCAUAAAGAUUACAUUUUUUGUUUUUCAAUUAAACUCAUGGACGGUAUUGUGUGUCAGGGCUCUUUGGAUCACUGAAAUCAAUCUCAGACACCUGUGAUAAUUAGUCUGCCAGGUGAGCCCAAUUAAGGAAAAACUACUUAAGAAUGGCGUUCCACAUUAUUAAGCAGAUGACCAUUUCCAAGCAACAUGGGAAAGAAAAAGGAUCUCUCUGCUGUCGAAAAGCGUGAAAUAGUUCAAUGCCUUGGACAAGGUAUGAAGACCUUAGAUAUUUCACGAAAACUUAAGCGUGAUCAUCGUACUGUAAAGAGAUUUGUGGCUGAUUCAGCACACACGGGUUCGUGCAGAUAAAGGCACAACGAGGAAGGUUUCUGCCAGACAAAAACAUCGGAUUAAGAGAGCAGCUGCUAAAAUGCCAUUACAGAGUAGCAAACAGAUAUUUGAAGCUGCUGGUGCCUCUAGAGUCCCACGAACAUCAAGGUGUAGGAUCCUCCAGAGUCUUGCAGUUAUGCGUAAACCCUCUAUUCGGCCACCCCUAAACAACGCUCACAAGCAGAAACGGCUGCAGUGGGCCCAGGAAUACAUGAAGACUAAUUUUCAAACAGUCUUGUUCACUGAUGAGUGCCGUGCAACCUUGGAUGGGUCCCUGAAGGUGUGAAAAUGACAUCUGUAAAGUAUGUGGAGUUUCUGACUGACCACUUUCUUCCAUGGUACAAAAAGAAGAACCGUGCUUUCCGUAGCAAAAUCAUCUUCAUGCAUGACAAUGCACCAUCUCAUGCUGCAAGGAAUACCUCUGCAUCAUUGGCUGCUAUGGGCAUAAAAGGAGAGAAACUCAUGGUGUGGCCCCCAUCCUCCCCUGACCUCAACCCUAUUGAGAACCUUUGGAGCAUCCUCAAGCAAAAGAUCUAUGAGGGUGGGAGGCAGUUCACAUCCAAACAGCAGCUCUGGGAGGCUAUUCUGACAUCCUGCAAAGAAAUUCAAGCAGAAACUCUCCAAAAACUCACAAGGUCAAUGGAUGCAAGAAUUGUGAAGCUGCUAUCAAAUAAAGGGUCCUAUGUUAAAAUGUAA